rnacentral:rRNA from 1 species
UACGAAGGAUGCAAGCGUUAAUCGGAAUUACUGGGCGUAAAGGGUGCGUAGGCGGUUGUUUAAGGCUGUCGUGAAAUCCCCGGGCUCAACCUGGGAAUGGCGAUGGAUACUGGGCAGCUAGAGUGUGUCAGAGGAUGGUGGAAUUCCCGGUGUAGCGGUGAAAUGCGUAGAGAUCGGGAGGAACAUCAGUGGCGAAGGCGGCCAUCUGGGACAACACUGACGCUGAAGCACGAAAGCGUGGGGAGCAAACAGG